UCAAGUGUCGUAAGGGCGUUCGGUGGAUGCCUUGGCACUGAGAGGCGAUGAAAGACGUGGUACGCUGCGAUAAGCCUUGGGGAGCUGCGAACAAGCUUUGAUCCGAGGAUUUCUGAAUGGGGAAACCCACCUCCGACAAUUAGAACUCAGAGCCCGCGCGGCAAUGCGCGGUCUUCGGCUUCUAAUUGUCAUAGCGAGGUACAAGGCCCUGAAUAAAAUAGGGGUUUUGAGCAAACCCGGGGAACUGAAACAUCUAAGUACCCGGAGGAAAGGACAUCAACAGAGACUCCGUUAGUAGUGGCGAGCGAACGCGGACCAGGCCAGUGGCAUACGAGAAACAAGCCGAACCGGUUGGAAAGCCGGGCCUCAGUGGGKGAUAGCCCCGUAGGCGUAAAAUAUCGUAUGUCCUCGAGUAGGGCGGGGCACGUGAAACCCUGUCUGAACGUGGGGGGACCACCCUCCAAGCCUAAGUACUCCUCAGUGACCGAUAGCGAACAAGUACCGUGAGGGAAAGGUGAAAAGCACCCCGACAAGGGGAGUGAAAUAGUUCCUGAAACCGGACGCUUACAAACAGGCGAGGCCCGCAAGGGUGACGCCGUACCUUUUGUAUUAUGGGCCAGCGACUUAGCGUGACGAGCAAGCUUAAGCCGAUAGGCGAAGGCGCAGCGAAAGCGAGUCUGAAUAGGGCAUUCAGUUCGUCGCGUUAGACCCGAAACCUAGUGAUCUAGCCAUGUGCAGGCUGAAGAUGGGGUAACACCCAUUGGAGGGCCGAACCGGUGUCUGUUGAAAAAGACUCGGAUGACGUGUGGUUAGGGGUGAAAGGCCAAUCAAACUAGGAGAUAGCUGGUUCUCCGCGAAAACUAUUUAGGUAGUGCCUCGAGCGAAUACCCUGGGGGGUAGAGCACUGGAUGGGCUAGGGGGUCCUACAGACCUACCAAACCUAACCAAACUCCGAAUACCCAGGAGUAAUACUCGGGAGACAGACGGCGGGUGCUAACGUCCGUCGUCGAGAGGGAAACAACCCGGACCUACAGCUAAGGCCCCUAAUUCGUGGCUAAGUGGGAAAGGAUGUGAGGAUCCCAAAACAACCAGGAGGUUGGCUUAGAAGCAGCCAUCCUUUAAAGAAAGCGUAACAGCUCACUGGUCUAAAUAAGGGUCUUUGCGCCGAAGAUGUAACGGGGCUCAAGCCACGAGCCGAAGCUUAGGGCGCAGCAAUGCGCGGUAGCGGAGCGUUCCAUAAGCCUGUGAAGGGCGACCCGUGAGGGCGCCUGGAGGUAUUGGAAGUGAGAAUGCUGGCAUAAGUAACGACAAACAGUGUGAGAGACACUGUCGCCGUAAGUCCAAGGGUUCCUGCGUAAAGUUAAUCUGCGCAGGGUUAGCCGGUCCCUAAGGCGAGGCCGAGAGGCGUAGUCGAUGGGAACCACGUUAAUAUUCGUGGGCCAGAGGGUAGUGACGGAUGCUUAGUGUUGUACGGGGUUAUUGGAUUCCCUGUGCAGCUGCGGUGUCCCAGGAAAUAGCUCCCUCAUUAGACCGUACCCGAAACCGACACAGGUGGACUGGUAGAGUAUACCAAGGCGCUUGAGAGAACUAUGCUGAAGGAACUCGGCAAAUUACCUCCGUAACUUCGGGAUAAGGAGGCCCAUGUGCUGCGCAAGCAGUAUGUGGGGGCACAGACCAGGGGGUGGCGACUGUUUACCUAAAACACAGGGCUCUGCGAAGUCUAAAGACGACGUAUAGGGUCUGACGCCUGCCCGGUGCCGGAAGGUUAAGAGGAGGGGUGCAAGCUCUGAAUCGAAGCCCCGGUAAACGGCGGCCGUAACUAUAACGGUCCUAAGGUAGCGAAAUUCCUUGUCGGGUAAGUUCCGACCUGCACGAAUGGCGU
rnacentral:rRNA from 1 species